ensembl:lncRNA
CAGAAAUACAAUUAAAAUUUUUUCUAUCAACUUUAUUUCUGGUGAUCUUGGUAAAUUCACUUAUUAGAUAAGAUACCUAGUAAAUUUGUUUGUAUUUUCUCUGUAUACAAUUAUUUCAUCAGCAAAUAUAAUUUAACUUCUUUAUUUCCAUUCUUUAUACAAUUCUGUUUAUUUUCCUUGUCAUCUUGCCCUGACUAGGAUCUCCUAAACAAUGUUGAAUAGAAGGUAGUGCAAGUUAAAAUCCUAGUCUUUUCCCCAAACUUAGAAAAUAAUUCAAUUUGGCAACAUCAAGUAUUAUGACAGCUGUAGAUUUUUUGUAGAUAUUCUUUAUUAUAUUAAGAAAUUUGCCUUCUAUUUCUAGUUUUCUGAGAAUUUUUACUAAUUUUCUUGUCUGCUAGUAUUAUAAAAUAUUGAAAGAGUUGUGUUAAAAUUUUCAGCUUUGACCACGGACUUUUCUAUUUGGUUCUUUUGAUUUUUGCUGUAUAUUUUAAGCCUACUAUUAGAUACAUUCCAAUUAAGAAUGGUUAUGUCUUCCUGUUAAAUUUCCUCUUUUGUAAUCGUGAAAUGUUUCCCACUAUUCAAGUAAUAUUUUUGCCUCAAAAUUUAUUUUGUUGGUAUUAAUAUAGCAAGUUGAUUAUGUUGAUACUAUGUUGAUUAUGUUUCCUUUUAUUUAAAGUGUGUUCUUUUAAAAACCAUAAAGUUAGUUGUUAAUUUUUAACCCAGUAAAACAAUCUCUGCUAUUUAAUAGAAGUUUUUAGUCAAUUUACAUUUAAGAUAAUUACUGAUAUGGUUGGAUUUAGGUCUAUUUGUUUACUCUCUACUUGUCACAUCUGUUCUUUGUUAUAUUUUCUUCCUUUUCCAGUUCCUUUUGCCGUUAAUGAAGUAUUUUAAUGUUCCAUUUUCUCUCUUCUACUAGAUUUUUAGUUUUGUUUUAUUUUUAGUGAUGACUCUAGAAAUUACAGUAUGCAUUCUUAAUUUAUUUACAUCUACCAUAAAUUACUACUUUACUUCUUCGUGAAUAACUCAAGAAACUUACGACAGUAUAACUUCAUUUACUCCCUUCUACCCUCUGUACUUUUGCUGUCAUAUAUUUCAUUUCUAUACAGGCUUUUAAUCCUACAAGACACCAUUGUUAUUGUUGGUUUAAGUAGUCAAUGCUCUUUUAUAUUCAGCCACAUUUUCCAGUGUUCCUCAUCCCUUUCUUCAGUCCUGUUUCCUUCACAGAUUGUUCCUUUCAGCCAGAAGAAUUUUCUUUAGUACUUCUUAAUUGUAGGUCUGCUGGCAAUGAUUUAUCUAGAUCUUUAUUUGUUUUCAAGUGUCUAUUUUACCUUCAUUUCUAAUGAAUAUUUUCACUGGAUUAAGAAUUCUAGGUUGGUAGGGUUUUUCCUCUCCUUCUUUCUUUCCCUUUAGCACCUUAAAGAUACUUCAUUGUCAUGUGGAUUCCAGAGUUUCUAUUGAAAAGUUUUCUAUCAAGGUAAUUGUUGUUCCUUUGAAGUUAAUGUGUUUUUUAUUCCUCUGCCUACCUUAAAGAUUUUUUUUCUAUCUUUAGUUUUCAGCAUUUGGACUGUGAUGUAUCUAGACUUGACUUCUGGUAUUUUUACUGCUUGGGAUGCAGAGACUCUUAAAUCUGUGCAUUGAUGUCUUUCAUCAGAUUUAGAAAAUUCAACUAUGGCUUUUGUCCCAUUUUCUCUCUCCUCUAGGACCUCACAUACAUAUGUUAGAUCAUUUGACAGUGUUCUUCACAAUUCUUACCCACUGGUUUUUAAUUUUGAAUUCCUCUGUCUCUCUGUGCUUAGAUUCGGAUAAUUACUAUUGAUCUGAUUUUCGGUUCGCUAAUCCUGUCUCCUCAUUUGUUUAGUGUUCUAUUAAACUCAUUCAAUAACCUGUUUGAAAUUUUCAAGUUUAGAAUGUCCAUUUUGGAGAGAGAGAGAUUCCAUUUCUCUGUUGCAAUUCUCAUCUUUUCGUCAGUUUUGUUCAUAGUAAAACCUUGUCUGUUCAAUACAAUAUUUGGGUCAUCAAUCUGUCUCUACUGGGUUUUUUCUCUUAAUUAUGGUCACAUUUUCUUGCUUUUUAAAAUGCAUUCUAACUUUUUUCUUGUAUCCCAGAAAUUGUGAAAAAGAGUUGUGUAAAGACUGAAGUAGGUGCUUUUUUUCCCAGAGAUGGUUUGCCCUUUCCUUCAUCAGGCAGACAGGGUAGGAUACUGAUCACCAUGAUCCAACGAACAAUUGAGCUGGGAUAAGGCUGUAGAUUUUGUUAGACCCCAUCGACCUCCAGUUUCAAUGUCUCAAAGAUGAGACGCGUGCUUGGUUUAUUGCAGGCUCCUCUCUCUGACAUGAUCUUGGCUACCAAGCUCCAUGAGACUACAACACACUUUAUUCUCCCUUUCAAGUCCAGCUUGCACCCCUCUCAUUACCAAUGCACUCAUUAAAAAGCCAUGUGAAGAAACCAGCAGAGAAAACUGUCUUUGUCCUUAGGAAUCCCCCGGAUUUGAAUCUUUCACAACAGACCUCAAAAGUCCUACCGUUUUUCUUUAUCCUAACAGAGUUCCUCUGCGAUGAUGAGUCCAGUUCUCAGCUCAUGUACACAUUGUCAAAUGCCUCAAAGAGGAAAACAGCUACAGAUCUACAUUCAUGUAGAAAAAGAUCUUUCUACUCUGGAAUUCAGUUGCUCUAUACCCUUUCUUAUCCACAGUAUCCACAGCCAUUUUUAAAAUAUGUCAUUUUAUAAUUCAUCUAGUUUCUUCUGUUUGUUGUGGUAGGAACAAUGGUCUGCUGCCACUUUCUAUAUCUUAACCAGAAGCAAAAGUCAAAUGUGCAUUAGUUUUAUGAUCAGAGAAAAGAAAGUAAUUCUCAAUCAAAAGUAUUAAUUUAUGAGGCCGGCCCAGUGGCACAGUGGUUAAGUUCUCACAUUCCGCUUUGGUGCCCGGGGUUCACCAGUUCGGAUCCUGGGUGUGGACAUGGCAGCGGUUGGCAAGCCAUGCUGUGGCAGGCGUCCCACACAUAAAGCAGAAGAAGAUGGGCUCGCAUGUUAGCUCAGGGCCAGUCUUCCUCAGCAAAAAGAGGAGGAUUGGCAGCAGAUGUUAGCUCAGGGCUAAUCUUCCUCAAAAGAAAAAAAGUAUUCAUUUACAUAAAAUUUCCAAGAUACAGCAUGUACAAAAAUUUCUGCAAACAUUUUGGCAUUAAAGAUUCAUUUUGAAAAUAUCAGUAGUUCUAAACACAAAGUAAUUCCUUCCAGUUGUGGCUCACCUAACAACUAUUUCUAAUUCUCUUCCCCUUUCAUCACCACUAUUGGGUUAAAAAACUAAACUAAAUACCCACUUUCCAAGUUUCCUUAGCAACUAGUGGUCACCGGACACCGUUCUGAUGCAUCCCCCUUCUCGCCUUGAAUGCAGACAUUAUAUCUGUGUUUGUGGCAGUCAUUUUUGAUCAUGAAGCACAAGCACGAGAACAAAAGGCAACAGACUAAGGAUGACAGGGUAAAAAUACAUAAAGAGAGUGAGUCUCUGACGGCAUUUUUGAGCAGCUAAACUAAAGCCAGAAACGUACUUCAAGAACACUUUAUAAGUGAGAAAAAUAUCCCUUAUUAAGAGUCUGUGAGUUUAAUUAUUUACUUGUAACUCAAUGCAUUGCUAACAGAUACUUCAAUUCUGUUUCAGUAAUUCAAUAACCAACACAGAUUUGUUGAAUACCUGUAGUAUACACGAUGGUUUUAUUAAGCUUUUGUUUAACACAGUAUUAAAAGAAGUUCACAGGAUGAUUCCUACUCAGAAGAUCUAUACUAUCUUUCAAAUUAAAUAGAGAAAUAUAUCAGGAAAUAGUAAAAUAUGAACACAUGAUACAUAAUAGUCCCAUUUCAAAUAAAUGAUACAAUAAUGGACAACUGAUAUUUCUAAAUGUAAUUAUUUUCCCUAUUCCUUAUGUGAAAAUAAGUAUUCCCUGCCUGGAUAUUGAAAGUGAAAGGACUCAUUUAACCUGAAGAUUAAGGUUAGUACUAUUCACAAGUGAGAAGACAGCUGCUAUCAUGGAAGGAUUUAAGGGCCACUUAAAGACCUGUAUAAGUGAAGCUGAAUUCCUCAGCCUGCCUGUCCCAGUGUUUUGAAAGCCCACUGUUAAAAUCAUUCUUUGGAAUUAGGGAAUUAUCCAGAAGUGGUCCUGGUUAAAGCAAAUAUCUUAGCAAGAAUGUGUAACAUUAAUAAUCGUCAUUAAAGAUUUUGUGUGCCAGGAUCCUAGCUGAAAGCAAGUCUCUGAAGGAUUUAGAUGACAAAGGCGUAGACUUUGAAGGAGGUUUGCAAAGAGAGAUUGGAAGGCAGUUUUGGAAGGGGAAGAACAUUUCCUGGGAAGUCAAGUAUUUUUAUGUCUUCAGGCUGCCAUAACAAAAGCCGCAGCAACAGAAACUUAUUUGCUCAGAGUUCUGGAGGCUGGAAGUCCAUGAUUAAAGUGAUAGCAGAUUGUUUCUGGUGAGACCUUUCUUCCUGGUUUUUAGACGGCAGCCUUCUCACCAUGUCCUCACUUGGCCCUUGCUUGGUGCUGGUGCAUUGGAGAAGCAAUCUCCCUGGUGUCUCUUCUUAUAAGGACACUACUCCUAUAGGACCAGGGCCUCACCCUAAUGAGCUCCUUCAAACUUAGUUACUUCUUUAGAGGCCUCUUCUCCAAAAACAGCUGCAUAAGGGGUUAGGGCUUCAACAUAUGAAUAUUGGGGAGACAAAAACAUUCAUUCCAUAACACCAGGGACCCCACAACCAGGGAAUACAUGAGAUUUUGAAUGUUGAAGAGAAGGAGCAAGAGAAAAUCAUACAGAAGGCAUGUGGCAUAAAAGAAUGGUCACUGGCUUGGGGACCAGGGUUCUGGUCCAGGCCCUACCACCAACUUACUGUGUGAUGGGCUACGGCUCAAUCACUUUGCAUGUGUUCAGUUAAAAGGAAAAGAGUUAGUGAGUGAUCUCUACAAUCAAAAAUAUAAUGAGGCAGCUAUCGAAAGAGGCAGCAUGGCCCUUAGAUCAAGGAAGCAGAUCCCUGCCACUGGUCCCAUGCUUCAGGAUCCAGUGCUCUGGAGUGCCUUCCAUGAAGGAAGUCCCUCUCUGAAGCCUGGCACUUGCUGGGGCCAACCUUUCCAUCUGCACUUGGUGUCCCAAGGCCAGAUCAUGGCCUACAUGGGGCCCAGUCCUCAUUUCCUCUCUCGAGAGGACUCUCCAGCCCUCUAUCUCAUAUGUGGGGUAGAGCAAAAGCUCUAGAACCCAUGCUUGUGGAGUCAGCCCCAGCCGCAUAGAAGGACCUAGUCCCAGGAGGGCAGCCUAGAGGCAGUUCCUCCCACUGGCCUGCACAGUAGUCCUUUCACAGGAUCACAUGAAAUCAGGCCACCAGAAUAGUGCUGAGACACUGAUUUGGGUGACUCUCACUCACGUAGGACACAGGACAAAAGAUCUUCACAUGCACUGAUUGGAAGAUAAACAAAGCUCUUCUCUACCCAUCACCCUAAGUCUUCGUCAAUAAAUCACUGUAACUCACAUGGGUCCGUGAACUUUGUAAUAUAUUGUUUAAUCAAAUUGUUUAUAUAGAUGAGUGCCUUGGAAAAAGAUUUUCCCAUAGCCCCAGACACCUUAGGAGUUGCCCUAGAAAGAGGCAUACCUACUUUAUAUUUUGUCUGAAGCCAUAUCUGGUUAAGAGAUUAGAGGAAUCAGAGGAAAGAAGUAACAGUGGCAGGUUGCCAGAAGAGGAAAUCCUGGCAGCUAGAAUAUUGCUCAAUCUUCGGAAAAAAGAAGAGCAAUUUUGGACCUUGAUAUAUCUUUGUUCCUUUUAUAUAACAGAACGAUAAAUGAAAUUGAAUCUCAAGGCCUAACAUUAAUGACUGAAUGUGGAGCCCCUCAGCACUGAUCUCACGUGUGCUUGCUUCUUCCUCUGUAAACAGCCUCUCAGCUUCAUCUUGACCGUUGAACUGUAGAGUGGGCUGCUUAAGUUUGGUUUCCUACCUCUCCUCUUACAGGGCAGAUAGAGCAGAAAAAGCAGCUAGACACUUAGACACCCACUUAGAGGGUCAUUUCUAGGCCUUAAUUGGCCUGGUGCUAUCAAUGUUUUCUGGUGUCCAAAAGCUUUGGAAACAGUGCUGGUUAUCAGUUGAUUGCCUUUCAGCUCCAAUCCACCCUUCAUUACCUGUUCUGCAAUGUUGGAGCUGGACCAUUUAAGCAUUUCCCCUUUGCAGCAAGUGUGAUGUUAAGAAUUGUCAGUCAAGUGCUUUAGAGAGACAUUGCGGGAGGAAGGGCCUUCUCCUCCUGGUUCCAAUAUAUUCAUCUCAUUAGACAGCUACAUGCAAAUGGUCUUUUUCUGCUGUGCCAGAUGGGCCAGCAACAUGCGGCACCUUCCAGUGGGCAUCUUCCCUCACCACCUACCACAGGAAGCUGUGCAGCAGAAUGCCUCUGACGGGCCACCUCACCAUCACAAGCUGCCCCUAGUUCACUCCCCUUAGCACCUUCAGAGUCUGCUUUCCAGUAAAAUGCUAGCAAAUUCUCAUUUUCUAGUGCCAAACUUACAGCACUCAGUGUGAACAUUUUCAUCCAGCAAUAGAUUCUGCAAAUGGCUUAAGAAUAUAAAAAUAGAGAUAAGCCUUAGGGAACACCUACAUUUCUCAACAUAUUUGCACCAUUCUUAUUCCCCAGAGGAAGAAAAGCUGGGAGAAAUUAAGGCAGGGCAGUACGUGCUCCCUAAGCAGACCUUGGCAAAUGGACUAUUAAUCUGGCUCUUAGAUUACCUGAAACUUUUGGCAUACAUCCGGAUGCAAAGAUCAUUUGGGAACACUUUCUAUGUAUCAGGCACUGAUACUAGAAUGAAGCUCAUUUAAUUCUUACCACCACCAUAGGAGGUCGAUCCAACUAUUAGCCUUGUUCUCAAUGAGGUUAAAUAACUUGGUUGAGGUCUACAAGUGGCAGAGCUUAGAUUUCAACCUGGGCAUUCUGGCUCCAGAACACACACUCUUAAUCACUGAUAAAGUCAGGUAUAUGGUGGUCAAGCUCAGAGUGUCUUUGGACGGGGCCCUCAAGGCAGCGCUUAAAAACUCUCACAGUAGCCUAGCCACCCUGUUUCCCAUCACAUUCAAAUGGCUACACUCCAAAUCUGUUUACACCCAAAGAGUCACUUUCUCCACUUGGGAUGUCACAAACCCAGACUGUCAUACUGAGUUUAAACUCAUGAUCAUUCAUCUCAAAGGGAUACUCAACUCUCCCCCACCGACUCUACUGUUUUCCUUAUCAUAAGCUCACUUUCCCUCACUCGGAGGCAGUUCAACUUUCUCUUCCCCUCUCAAACCUUCCACGCCCUCCUCUUGACAGCCCUUUCUCUCCCCUACUUGCCUUGUAUUUUACUGAAAAAUAGAAGUCAUCAGACAAGAACUUUCUCAUCUUCCUGCAAUCAAAUCCACAGGUCCUCCUGCAUUUGAAGACGUACUUGUCUCCUGUUGCAGUGGGAGAAAGGCCCUCCCUUCUAACACUGGUUGAGCUGAGAGUUCUACUCAUCAUAGCAACUCAAGACUCGGGCCUACUGAAGAACCACCAUUUCAAACAUGACAGUCAUUGUGCCAGAGUGAAAAGAGGGCUCUGGAAUGUUCCAUAUGAGCAAUGGUUGCUCACAACUCAUUGGUGGGAGUAGUCACAUGGCCCACCCAACAAUGAAGGAGCCAGGAAGCUUAGCUCCACUGAUGAACGUCACUAAGCAGAACCAUGUUGUUGGGAGACAGUUCUCCAGGGCUCUCCUGUUUCUGCAUGUCUUACAAGCAGAGGCACUGAGAGCUUUCGUUCCAGGCCAUCUUUCAAGAAUGUCUGUACAGCAAAGAGCCCUGACGGAUAGAAAUUAUGCUUCAUUCUGGAGCAUGGGGCAGGCUUGUUUACUGUCCAGUAUAAUAGAGAUUAUGUCUUUCUGAGGUAACAGAUGGGCCAGCUUGCUUGGACCCCAUUAAAAAGAUAGGGGUUCCCUAAGCUCCAAGUUCCUCACCUGUGAUGCAAACCCAUACAUCACCCCUGUGGGAUCCGGGGAGAGGGGGAAUUGACAUGAAUAUGAAGUUCCUGCUACUUUCUGUGCCAUGAGAAAUAAAGUCCUUUGUCUCUGACCUGGUGUCUUGUGUCUUCUGUCAGUAUCCAUGAAAGUGCAGCAGGCUAAGUCUCGAGACAAAGAAGGUUCCCACUCUCAUGGGGCUGUUAUAACAGUGGGGCCACUUUCAUUCUUGUCACUUCAUCAGAAAGGUCUUUCCUGACCACUUCCCUGCAAGUAAUUCUCUACCACAUCAUCCUAUUUCCUUCACAGAAAUUGGGAAAAUCUAAAAAAUGAAUUGUUAAUUUUCCAUUUUCCUCCUCUUGAAUGUAAGCUCCUUGAAAGCUCCCGUCACCAUCUUCAGUGCCAGAAACUGCGGUCUGGCACAUAUCAGGGACUCAAAAUAGCUAUGUUGAAGGAAGAGAGAGGAAGAAAAAAUCAGCGUGGGUGUUCCCAGCCCACAGCUGGCCUGAGUUCUUCUGAACAGCUCCGGAGUUUUAAGUGCACUCAAAGGAGUUGACCAAAGGGAUGGCUAAGCUUUUAGGAGAGGUUAGCCAGUGAGAAUCAACCAGGCUUGGAGAUCUUUUUCCCAUCAGGAACAAGAAGACUGGACCUAUUCCCAUGCCAAAGUGCAUCCCCGGAGAGAGCUAGAAGCUUCUCCCUCGAAGAGACAGGAAUGGGGGUAGAUCUUGGCUGACCUGGGCUGAGUUUGCUGGAGUCGCUCACCGUGCACUGCAAAGCCAGUGCUGACAGAGCAAGAGGAAGGCCUGGGUGUCAGUGCUGCCCAGGGCUUGAGGGGAGGGAGGAAACGGCAGAUGGCUUGUCUUUAACUUGCAUCUCUCUCUUAGCGUGGAUUUUGUAAGCUUCUCUCAGCCUGCACUUUCUGGGGCUUGAUUUCUGAUCCAGUGACUCCACAAUUUUUAGAUCCAAACUCACCUCUCGUCGUCCUGCCAGAUUUGGAGGGGAGACAAAAUGGGGUCAUGUUUGUGUGAAAAUGUCUUUUACUAAUUUCCCAUUAUCUCUUUCUAAAACUUGGGGGUCCCCUGUUUAUUUUUGCUCUCUCCUACCCUUUUAGUCCUCUUCCCAUCCUCUACUCCUUCUGUUCUCACACUGCCAGCUUUCUUUGGGAUUUCACCUGAAAUCCACUAUGUUGACCUUUAUAUGCUGACAUUUGCAAUACCUCUUUUCUUACCUGAAUUUCAGAUAUUGCAAACAGGCUUGAGCAGAACGAUGGCAAUUUUUACUUACUUACUUUAAGUUGCAGCAAUAGUUCAAAAGAUUUUGAACUUCUAGAGUAAGGUGAUGCAUUGUUCUACUAAUUCAACCAUUUAAUACAGUCAGAAGAAUUUGCUGGCUUUUGAGUCAACAUGACAAAUUGAGGUCUCAAUAAUUUUUUGAAGUGAGUUAAGCAAAUGUUUACUUGAGUGAAGAAGGGCAAGAGUAAGUUCCACACUUCUGACGCCUUGCGCUGCUUUCUGUACCAGCUGAAAUGGUGAUUCUCAGACCAUGCUCCUACCAAAGAGUUUCCCAAUGAGAUGGGUUAAUGCGUUCAAAUGCUCAAAUUUUAACAGCAGCCUUUUCCCAAUUAACUGGAAAAAAUAGAUGAAUUGAAAUAUUUUCUUUAAGAUUUUUCUCCCAUUAAUCGUGUUCAUGCAUGUGGAAGCUGCCGCUGCUUACCUGUGAACGAAUGCCAACGGUGAUCAAAUCCAACGAAUCCAUAGCAAAUAGAUAUUAACAGAAAAUGCAGAACCCGAUGAUCUCGCUGAAUCUGAUUGCAUCUUUUUUUCCAAAUACCUCUUUCAUAUGUCUGAAAUGGUUCCUGGUUUCAUGAGGAAAUAAGCUCAAUAUUUGGGGAUUUCUAAAAUGAAUUCUUUGAUUUCUAGUUGUUCCACUAUCUAAACUAUACAAAGCUGUGACUCAUUAUCCAGACCAUGACAGAUCAAUGUCCCCUUUAAUUGUGAAAUUAUAAAAUGUUUAAAGUUCAGUCUUAAAAGCACUCUUACGCUACAUAUUCUACGUUCUUCAAAAUUCAUUGGCAACCCAGUCAGCCCGAAAGAGAUUCCUGGAUCAGUACUGAAGACCAAAAUUCUCGACCAACAUUGUACUUCCAACUGCCUCUUUCAUGGGCUUUUUCUUUUAGUUUUGCCACUCAAAACCACAAAGUCAGAAUGUUUAUUUUUUUCAAUAUAUAUCGAUUUGAAAAAUGGUUGUUCCCGUCUAGGAAAAUUUGGCUUCCUUAACUCCAAAUGAGCUUCUGCUAGGGUUCUUUGUUGAUGGUUGCGCUAGCUACGGAUGGAUUUUGAGCUUGCUGUUUAUCAGUUUGUGUUCGCGCGCACCUGUGUGUGUGCGUGUGUGUGUAGAUUUGAAUGACAUAUUCAACCUCAGGUCAACAAAAUGACUUAAACCACAAUUUCUGUGGGCCCAUUUAAAAGGAAAAACAUAUAAAAACACACAAAUCAAGUGCUAUGAAAUAAUGAAGGAAACGUCAUUCAUCAAACUGCUAGCCUGCAGUAAUGAGGCUGGAUGCUGAGCUUGGGUUCAGAGAAGUAAAGCCAUCUUAGAGCAUAUCUGACAUACGGAAGCCAUGGGCCCAUGUGUUUGUGAGAUAGAUCAACUUACAGGAGACUUCAUGCCUCCCUUGAGAGGACACACUUGAUACUCAUGACCCAUCUGUCAACUCAAAGUUUACUUUGGGUUUCAUGUUCCCAGUUCUUCCCAUCUUGGUGGGACAAGAAAGUGGAGCAGUAUUGCUUUCCAUGGAGACGUUACCACUCUUUGCAUGUUGUGGUGUGGUGAACACUUUAAUUCUACUUGUUUUCAUGUUUCAAUGUAUCAAUACAUUGUUCAAUAAAUGUAUCAAUAAACUUCCCAGGUGGAUUUUCUGUCUAGACUGUUACUUUUUCCAAAUAUCUAGUUCCUUUUAAAGUUAUUAUGUAAGAAGAAAGGACACACUUGCCCUAAAUUGAAAUAGAUAGCUAAGACAAUACGGCCCAGUACCGCAUGGAAGGUAAGUACCGGUAAAUGUACUGACUGAGAGCAACUACACUUAUUUAUCCAACUAAAAUUCUAUACUCUAUAACAAUUAAACGAAAGAAAAAAUUCAUUUGUUUUUCUGCUUAUUUUCCACAGCCUGUGUAUUCUGUUUCUCACUCAAUAAUGGUAAUUUUGUGCCACUUAACAAGACAAUUGUGACACAGAAUGUAAAAAUAAAGUGUUUCAAACAGUGUCUGAGCCAAGAGUUCUGAAACAAAGAGUAAACCUUAACCUUGAAAGAGGCAGUUAGGCCUGGAGAGCUGCGCCCGAAUCAGGGCGGGCCAGGUGUCUUCUGAGGGCACCCAGGCCCCAGGAUGCGCCCCUGCCCACCAUACUAACUUUGAUUUUAGGGGGAUGCUCUCUUGGCCCAUGGCUCCUCCUCCUGUAGUCUUUGUCUGGCUGAUUUAACCCACAAUCAAGGCUUCAACAAACACCAGGGGGAUUUGUGUUUUUGCCCCAAACAUCUCUCCAGAGCUCUACACCCAUAGUUCCAACUGGCCCAAUGGUGUUCCGGAGGUCUCCACUUGGACAUCCUUCAGGACUUCGAAUGCAAUGUGACCAAAUCUAAACGCUUUAUCUUCCUCCUCCCUAAACCAGCUUGGCUUCCUUUAUUCUUUCCCCCAGGUGAUGGCUCCACCACAGUCCCAUUGUCCAAGCCAUCCCACUUCCUCAGCGCCUGUUCCCACUGCUCUUGUGGAGGCCCUCAUUACCUCUUACUCAAUCCAGGGCAACAACAUCCUUACUGUUAUCUCUCUCUGGUCUUAAACCACAUCAGUCAAUCCCUCAAAAUCUUUUUCUAAUAUGCAAAUUAUACAUGCCUUUCCCCUGAUAAAAAUUCUUCUAGGUGUUACCAUCACCCAGGACAAAAUCUAACUACUUUUUACAAUCCACCAAGUUCUUCAUAAAUCGGGAUCUUAGUUCUCAAAUCAGUACCAUCUUAAUUUCACCACUUUUGAGAUAUUUGUGCUUUCAUAUUUUAUCAAAAUAAUACAUAUACAUGGUUUUAAAAAUCAAGUAAUACAGAGGGCCUAUAAUUAAAAGUGAAACUUCUUUCCCAGUCCCUUCUUCCCCUAGUCCAGGUGCCCAGGGUAAGCACUUUUCAUCACGUGUUUCUAAUUAUCCUGGUGUUUACCAGCAUCUUUCUAGACAAUAUGCCUUUACGAUCAUUUUUUAUUUAGCAACUAUAGGGAUCCCCUUACCGGCAUUCUCCACUUCCUCCCGAUAUAGUUAUAUCACCUAUUUAUCUCUCCCC